AUGGCCUGGUCCCUUCUUCUUGUCCUCCUGGCUCACUGCACAGGUUCCCUGUCCCAGCCCGUGCUGACCCAGACACCCUCCCUCUCGGCAUCUCUGGGAACAAUGGCCAGACUCACCUGCACCCUGAGCAGUGGCUUCAGUGUUGGUGAUUUCUGGAUACGCUGGUACCAGCAGCAGCCAGGGAGCCCUCCCUGGUAUCUGCUGUACUACCACUCAGACUCAGACAAACACCAGGGCUCUGGGGUCCCCAGCCGCUUCUCUGGAUCCAGUGAUGCCUCGGCCAAUGCAGGGCUUCUGCUCAUCUCGGGGCUGCAGGCUGAGGAUGAGGCAGACUAUUACUGUGCUACAUGGCAUGGCAACUCUAAGACUUGGGUCCUGGCCACAGGGAGCAAGAUCACAAUCGGUGCUCUUUCUGAGAGUGAAAAACACUGCAGUAAUCAUGGACAUCGCUACGGGAUCAUACUAUCUAUUCUUGUUCCUAAGAAUUCUCCAGACAGUAGAUCCAUCAGAGAAACAUUUUUCUAUGGAUGGUUCUCAGUUCAUCAGAACAGGCCCCUGAAGCGUUUCACUGGGCAUCACGUUGACUUUUCCUACCUGGAAGACCAGAUGCGCUGUAAAAAUAAGUGA